rnacentral:rRNA from 1 species
UACCAGCACCCCGAGUGGUCGGGACGUUUAUUGGGCCUAAAGCACCCGUAGCCGGUUCUACAAGUCUUCCGUUAAAUCCACCUGCUUAACAGAUGGGCUGCGGAAGAUACUAUAGAGCUAGGAGGCGGGAGAGGCAAGCGGUACUUAGUGGGUAGGGGUAAAAUCCGUUGAUCCAUUGAAGACCACCAGUGGCGAAGGCGGCUUGCCAGAACGCACUCGACGGUGAGGGAUGAAAGCUGGGGGAGCAAACCGG